rnacentral:rRNA from 1 species
AGGUGCGAUCAUGCCAGCACUAAUGCACCGGAUCCCAUCAGAACUCCGCAGUUAAGCGUGCUUGGGCGAGAGUAGUACUGGGAUGGGUGACCUCC